UCGAGAAUCUUCCACAAUGGGGGAAACCCUGAUGGAGCGAUGCUGCGUGCGGGAUGAAGGCCUUCGGGUUGUAAACCGCUUUUGUAGGGGACGAAAUUUUUGACGGUACCCUUUCGAAUAAGAGGUUGCUAACUCUGUGCCAGCAGCAGCGGUAAUACAGAGACCUCAAGCGUUAUCCGGAUUUACUGGGCGUAAAGCGUCUGUAGGGGGUUUAUUAAGUUCCAAGUAAAACUUCAAGGCUCAACUUUGAAUUCGCUUGGAAAACUAAUAAACUGGAGUCUAGCAGAGGUGCAUGGAACUUGUGGUGUAGGAGUGAAAUCCGUUGAUAUCACAAGGAACACCAAAGGCGAAGGCAUUGCACUGGGCUAGCACUGACCCUGAGAGACGAAAGCGUGGGGAGCAAAACGGAUUAGAUACCCGUGUAGUCCACGCCCUAAACGAUGAAUGCUAAAUGUUCGGGGAUUCGACCCCCUGGGUGUUACAGCUAACGCGUUAAGCAUUCCGCCUGGGAAGUACGGCCGCAAGGCUAAAACUCAAAGGAAUAGACGGGGAUCCGCACAAGCGGUGGAGCGUCUGGUUUAAUUCGACAGUAAGCGUGGUACCUCACCAGGGUUUGACAUCCCUUGACAGCCUUGGAAACAAGGUUUCCUUCGGGCAAGGUGACAGGUGCUGCAUGGUCGUCGUCAGUUCGUGCCGUGAGGUGUUCCGUUAAGUCGGGAAACGAACGAAACCCCUAUUGCAUGUUACAAUUUCUCAUGCAAGACUGCCCGGAUAUACUGGGAGGAAGGUGGGGAUGACGUCAGAUCUGCAUGGUCCUUAUACCCUGGGCGACACAGGCGCUACAAUGGCAGAGACAAAGGGUUGCAAAACCGCAAGGUGAAGCUAAUCCCAAAAACUUUGUCUAAGUUCGGAUUGAAGGCUGCAAUUCGCCUUCAUGAAGCUGGAAUCGCUAGUAAUCGUGAAUCAGCCACGUCACGGUGAAUAUGUUCCCGGAUCUUGUACUCACCGCCCGUCACACCAAGAGAGUUGGUAGC
rnacentral:rRNA from 1 species